rnacentral:pre_miRNA from 1 species
UGUGAACUCCCUCCGUUCCAAAAUACUUGACUUCCAUUUGUCCAAAAAUGGAUGUACCUAUAUACUAAAACAUGUCUAGAUACAUAUAUAUUUUGACAAAUAGAAGGCAUGUAUUGUGCAAUGGAGGGAGUAGAAU